rnacentral:sRNA from 1 species
AGCAGCCGCGGUAAUUCCAGCUCCAAUAGCGUAUAUUAAAGUUGUUGCAGUUAAAAAGCUCGUAGUUGAAUUUCGGGACCAAUAUGUUGGUCGUGCCUCGGUACGCACUGGCAUUAUUGGUUUCUCCCUUCUGACGAACUACGAUGCCAUUAAUUUGGUGUCGUAGGGAAUCAGGACUGUUACUUUGAAAAAAUUAGAGUGUUUAAAGCAGGCUCGCGCUUGAAUACAUUAGCAUGGAAUAAUGAAAUAGGACGUUUGAUUCUAUUUUGUUGGUUUCUAGGAUCGACGUAAUGAUUAAUAGGGAUAGUUGGGGGCAUUAGUAUUCAAUUGUCAGAGGUGAAAUUCUUGGAUUUAUUGAAGACUAACUACUGCGAAAGCAUUUGCCAAGGAUGUUUUCAUUAAUCAAGAACGAAAGUUAGGGGAUCGAAGACGAUCAGAUACCGUCGUAGUCUUAACCAUAAACUAUGCCGACUAGGGAUCGGAUGAUGUUAAUUUUUUAAUGACUCAUUCGGCGCCUUAC